UUCUCUGCAUCUCGGUGGCCGGGGCUGGAAGGAAGCUGAAGCCGCAACCCCAAGUCAGCCCCCGCUGCCCCGUCCCACCGCCUCAUCUCUCCCCCCUCGGAGCUGGACUGCCUCCUCCCCCUACUUCUCCUACACUCACCAGUUGCAGCAGGGUGAUUUCUGAAGAAAUUGAAUUCAUUAGGAUUUUUAUGGAUAAUUAUAGUUGCAAUAUGCUUGGAGUCAUCCUAUUAAGGCACUUAUGAGUUCUCAAGUUCCAUCUGAGUUCCCAAGAACACAUCUACUGUGUAAAGAGGGAAACUUUGCUCUUUCUACUGUGCUUGUGAAAGCUUCUGUCCUAAGAAUUGCUAAUGGCAACACAGGCAGCCUGCAGAGAAUCAAAGGACAAGCCAAUCUGGACCUCCAGCAGCUCUUUGAUUUUUCUUCUUUUUGUAACUCUUGUUUUCUGUAACUCAAAGGAAAUGUCAGGUAUGGUCAUUAUUGUCUAUGAGGGCAAGAUGUCUAAAGAGAUAGAUAUGACAAGCUGUUCUCUCUGUUAGGAGUACUUUUCAUCUUCCUUCUGUAGCUAGCUGAGUCACAGAGAGUCUCCAUUAAUGGCCCCCAACUACAAUCAUAUACCCAAUUCUGAAAGCAUGCAUUCCACUAACAGAUAUGUUCUUUAUCUUCCCCAACUUUUGCUUUAUUCUUGCCCUUUAGUUGCCAACUCUACAGAACAGGGCAUCCAUUAUCUGUUCAGUUUGUUAAAAUGAAUCAUACACUUCCAGUGAGAUUUCAGGGAUGUUAUGGUUACCUGCCACUAUUACCUGUAUACUGUCUGCUCAUGA